rnacentral:rRNA from 1 species
UGGGGAAUAUUGGGCAAUGGAGGCAACUCUGACCCAGCAACGCCGCGUGAAUGAAGAAGGUCUUCGGAUUGUAAAGUUCUUUAGUGAGGGACGAAUAAAUGACGGUACCUCGAGAAUAAGCCACGACUAACUACGUGCCAGCAGCCGCGGUAAUACGUAGGUGGCAAGCGUUGUCCGGAAUUACUGGGUGUAAAGGGAGAGUAGGCGGGAUUGCAAGUCCGUUGUUAAAUCUAUCGGCUUAACCGGUAGCUGCGGCGGAAACUGUAGUUCUUGAGUGAAGUAGAGGCAGGCGGAAUUCCUAGUGUAGCGGUGAAAUGCGUAGAUAUUAGGAGGAACACCAGUGGCGAAGGCGGCCUGCUGGGCUUUAACUGACGCUGAGGCUCGAAAGUGUGGGGAGCAAACAGGAUUAGAUACCCUGGUAGU